rnacentral:rRNA from 1 species
UACGAAGGGGGCUAGCGUUGUUCGGAAUUACUGGGCGUAAAGGGCGCGUAGGCGGCUUCGAUAGUCGGGCGUGAAAUGCCUGGGCUCAACCCAGGAACUGCGCUCGAAACUCCGAGGCUAGAGUGUGGGAGAGGAUAGUGGAAUUCCCAGUGUAGAGGUGAAAUUCGUAGAUAUUGGGAAGAACACCGGUGGCGAAGGCGGCUAUCUGGACCACAACUGACGCUGAGGCGCGAAAGCUAGGGGAGCGAACAGG